rnacentral:lncRNA from 1 species
AAGCUGAAAAAAAUUGAGAAAAGUUGUUUUUUGCAGAGGUAGACGAUUCGGGAGAAGACCAAGGAGAUAUUGGAAUCGGCGUGGUGUUGAAAAGGUUUUUUUGAAAAGAGUGAUUUGGUGAUGUGUUUUUUCUUUAAUGACUUGCCAAUUUAAAAGUCUCUCAUUGGUCAAUUUUUUUUUCUGACGUGGACACCCUCAACGAUGAGGAUAUCUUGCUUUUAGUAUUGUAUUGAUUGCUAUUUCAAAUCAAUCAUUAAAUUCUUGGAUUAACGUAAUAUUAUGAGUGUUGAUUAGACUAGUAACUAGGGAUAGAAUCAUACGUGCCAUAAUGCCAGAUGUAAACCUAACUUUUCUACUUUGCAAAUGUGUGCAUCCUUGUGUUUCUUUUUUGAUUAACUUGGGUAUUCUAUAAUUAAAGGUUCAAACAAAUAUUCAAAGAGAAAUGUAUCUUACGGACAGACUCGCUCUCC